AUGACAUCAUCUUCUGAAAACACAAAAAACUGUUAUGACGUCAUCCUCAACGGAUCUUUAUCUUUUAAUGUCUUCCGAGAAUCGAGGCAUCUGUUUAGUUGGAUAGUCAUUAUUUGGGUCUUCCUCGAUUUUCGCGCCUGCCUGUUCGCUUAUCUCCUUAUAAAUAGGCACGCCCCAGUCUUUCUCAUUCUUCUCUUUCUCCGUCUUCUUCCUCUCGCAACCCUACCGCCGCUCGAGCUCCGCCACCGUCACAGAGCUCCUCGUCUCCGCCGACCUUGGCCGCUGCAUCAACCUGAGUCAGUCCAGAGAACGGCGGCAACCUCCGCAGAAGAUCCGUGGUUUUCGUCUUUUGAUCAUCAUGCCGUCAAAAGCACCGACCGUCUGCAACUGGGCCCCUUCCACAGUAACUGA
rnacentral:rRNA from 1 species